AUUUAAGAAUUGGCAGUGAAGGUAAAGGUGUUUUUUUUGGAUGUCUUUUUACAUUUAAGGUCUUGUAAAGGUAGCAUAGAUCAGUCAGUAUUAAAGGAGUUGCCUCCUGAGCUACUGGCAGAAAUUGAAUCCACCAUGCCACUUUGUGAACGUGUGAAAAUGAACAAGCGCAAACGUAGUACAGUUAACGAGAAACCAAAAUAUGCUGAAAUCAGUUCUGAUGAAGACAAUGACAGUGAAGAAGCUUUUGAAUGCUCCAAAAGAGAGAGAAUUGGUUGUCCUGCUUUUUAAUGCAUUUCAAUUUCUCCUCCAAGAAAUAAGUAGUGAUUAUAAACACAUACAUAUAAAAAAUGUAAUCGUGAUGCCUCUGAUCUUCAUCAAAGAAGAAGAACGUCUCUUUUGUUUUAUUUUCCUUAAAAAUAUAAUUGAAUAAUGUUGCCUAGACCAUGAGUAGAAAAUCUCCAAGGUAACUUGUAAUCAGACUUCAUUAUGGCAAAGAAUUAUUUGCUUCAUUCAGGAUACGGUAUUUUCUCUUUGCCAUAUAAUAUUACCUGCUUAUUGUGUUAAUUAUCUGGAACAGGGAAAUAAAAGAAGUGAAGCAAAAUUAUUUAAGAUGGUUGUCAAUGGAGAGGAUUGUCAGAAAUUUCAGUGAGACUUUAAUCUAGCUAUUAGUCACAUUGGCUGUUGAAAUAGUUAAAUAUGAAAUAAUGCAAAUUAAGAAAAACUUUCAGAGUCAUAUGCUUUAAAGGUACUCUUGGUUCAUUAUAUCCAGUCAUGAGCUCUGGCCAUUAUUAUAAACAGUCGGUGAGGACAUAAGAUGUAAAAAUGAAUUAUAAUAUUUCUUAAAGGAUACUGUAGAACUGAAUUAAAAUGAGGAAAAAAUGAUCAAGAGAUAAAAAAAAUAUUGACAAAUACACUAAAUAGAUUUGUAUUGUUACAUAUGUCUAUUUCAGAAUUCAUUUGUCUAAAAUGAAACUCUAAGAAAAGGAAGCGAUUGCAUUUCUUUGAGUUUAUCAGUCCAUUAAAUGAUGAAAAUUUAAAAAUGGAUAAAAUCUUUCUUAUACAACAAGUGCUCAGUGUGUUAUUGUUUAAAUGUCAGAACUCAGAAGGGAAUGAGAUUUUUUUUAACACAGAUUCCUUAUGUGUAAAAUUCAAUAAUAUUUCAAAAAUUACUAUUAGAUUUAUAUUUUAUGUUAAUUUUGUGUACUUUGGGUAAACUUCAAUGUCUAAUUGUGAAUAGUUUUUCUCAUGUUCAUCUUACUUGCCUUGCAGAGCCAACACAAGUGUAAUGUAUUCUGUUUUGUCAUGCAACAUUGAUGAAAUGGUCAAUUUAAAUUUCUGACAGAAAGUGAUAUUGGAAGUUAGUUUUCUUAUGGAGAUGUAGCUGGGGUCAGAAUUCAUCCUGCAGAACUUAAAUUACUACUGAUUAUCUGUAAACUGUGAAGACAGAAUUCUCUACCUCCACAAAAUAAAGUCUCAUGGGGUGGGGGAAGAACCAUUUAAAAUGUGACAAGUAUUCUCCCAUAGAACACUCAUUUCCUUAUCCAAUUUGCUCACUUCAGGUAACCCAGACAGCCCUCAAUUUCUUGACUUGCAGUUACCUGUCAAGCAUUUUAAAAGUGAAACUUAGUAGCUCAGGCAUCAUGAAUAUGACAGUACUGCCUCGAGAAACAACUCUUAUCCAGAAGCAGUGCAGUUCAAAGCCUGAGCAAGUUAUUACUUUAAGUUUUUGACCACCUCUUUGCAGAAAGUUGAUACUAUUUUCAAAAGUGGAAGCCCUCUAAGGUGCAGAGCAUUAGUUUCAAUACUCAGUUUCAAUAGUUUUUCAUUCGUACUUAGCCUGAGCUGCCUAUUGGCUAUAUCCUGUUAUAUAUAAUAUCCUCUUUCCUAUGCUUAUUAAUAAACUGUGAGUGUGGAAAUGAUUUGUCAGUUCUGUUCCAAUAUUGUAUAAAUGCUCAGCCAUUCUGCUCAGAAACAACCCUAUAUACAGUCACACCUCUAACAUUUAGGAGAGUUGGAUAGAGACACAUACAGAUAUAAGGGCUGUUAUAUGCCAAUUCACAAGAGUACACUCAAGACUAGGAGAGUUCAUUAAUGUUUUGGAACUAUUUUGAUCUUCACCAUUAAUAUUAGACAUCUCUUUACUAGUCCAGUUAUUUUGUUAUAUUAGAUAAUG